rnacentral:rRNA from 1 species
AAAUUGAAGAGUUUGAUCAUGGCUCAGAUUGAACGCUGGCGGCAGGCCUAACACAUGCAAGUCGAACGGUAACAGAAAGCAGCUUGCUGCUUUGCUGACGAGUGGCGGACGGGUGAGUAAUGUCUGGGAAACUGCCUGAUGGAGGGGGAUAACUACUGGAAACGGUAGCUAAUACCGCAUAACGUCGCAAGACCAAAGAGGGGGACCUUCGGGCCUCUUGCCAUCGGAUGUGCCCAGAUGGGAUUAGCUUGUUGGUGGGGUAACGGCUCACCAAGGCGACGAUCCCUAGCUGGUCUGAGAGGAUGACCAGCCACACUGGAACUGAGACACGGUCCAGACUCCUACGGGAGGCAGCAGUGGGGAAUAUUGCACAAUGGGCGCAAGCCUGAUGCAGCCAUGCCGCGUGUAUGAAGAAGGCCUUCGGGUUGUAAAGUACUUUCAGCGGGGAGGAAGGGAGUAAAGUUAAUACCUUUGCUCAUUGACGUUACCCGCAGAAGAAGCACCGGCUAACUCCGUGCCAGCAGCCGCGGUAAUACGGAGGGUGCAAGCGUUAAUCGGAAUUACUGGGCGUAAAGCGCACGCAGGCGGUUUGUUAAGUCAGAUGUGAAAUCCCCGGGCUCAACCUGGGAACUGCAUCUGAUACUGGCAAGCUUGAGUCUCGUAGAGGGGGGUAGAAUUCCAGGUGUAGCGGUGAAAUGCGUAGAGAUCUGGAGGAAUACCGGUGGCGAAGGCGGCCCCCUGGACGAAGACUGACGCUCAGGUGCGAAAGCGUGGGGAGCAAACAGGAUUAGAUACCCUGGUAGUCCACGCCGUAAACGAUGUCGACUUGGAGGUUGUGCCCUUGAGGCGUGGCUUCCGGAGCUAACGCGUUAAGUCGACCGCCUGGGGAGUACGGCCGCAAGGUUAAAACUCAAAUGAAUUGACGGGGGCCCGCACAAGCGGUGGAGCAUGUGGUUUAAUUCGAUGCAACGCGAAGAACCUUACCUGGUCUUGACAUCCACGGAAGUUUUCAGAGAUGAGAAUGUGCCUUCGGGAACCGUGAGACAGGUGCUGCAUGGCUGUCGUCAGCUCGUGUUGUGAAAUGUUGGGUUAAGUCCCGCAACGAGCGCAACCCUUAUCCUUUGUUGCCAGCGGUCCGGCCGGGAACUCAAAGGAGACUGCCAGUGAUAAACUGGAGGAAGGUGGGGAUGAUGACGUCAAGUCAUCAUGGCCCUUACGACCAGGGCUACACACGUGCUACAAUGGCGCAUACAAAGAGAAGCGACCUCGCGAGAGCAAGCGGACCUCAUAAAGUGCGUCGUAGUCCGGAUUGGAGUCUGCAACUCGACUCCAUGAAGUCGGAAUCGCUAGUAAUCGUGGAUCAGAAUGCCACGGUGAAUACGUUCCCGGGCCUUGUACACACCGCCCGUCACACCAUGGGAGUGGGUUGCAAAAGAAGUAGGUAGCUUAACCUUCGGGAGGGCGCUUACCACUUUGUGAUUCAUGACUGGGGUGAAGUCGUAACAAGGUAACCGUAGGGGAACCUGCGGUUGGAUCACCUCCUUA